GCCCUAGUAACGGCGAGUGAAGCGGCAACAGCUCAAAUUUGAAAUCUGGCUCUUUCAGAGUCCGAGUUGUAAUUUGCAGAGGGCGCUUUGGCGUUGGCAGCGGUCCAAGUUCCUUGGAACAGGACGUCACAGAGGGUGAGAAUCCCGUACGUGGUCGCUGGCCUUCGCCGUGUAAAGCCCCUUCGACGAGUCGAGUUGUUUGGGAAUGCAGCUCUAAAUGGGAGGUAAAUUUCUUCUAAAGCUAAAUACUGGCCAGAGACCGAUAGCGCACAAGUAGAGUGAUCGAAAGAUGAAAAGCACUUUGGAAAGAGAGUCAAAUAGCACGUGAAAUUGUUGAAAGGGAAGCGCUUGCAGCCAGACUUGCCUGUAGUUGCUCAUCCGGGCUUUUGCCCGGUGCACUCUUCUGCGGGCAGGCCAGCAUCAGUUUGGGCGGUUGGAUAAAGGUCUCUGUCAUGUACCUCCUUUCGGGGAGGCCUUAUAGGGGAGACGUCAUGCAACCAGCCUGGACUGAGGUCCGCGCAUUUAUGCUAGGAUGCUGGCGUAAUGGCUGUAAGCGGCCCGUCUUGAAACACGGACCAAGGAGUCUAACAUCUAUGCGAGUGUUUGGGUGUCAAGCCCGAACGCGUAAUGAAAGUGAACGGAGGUGGGACCCCUUUAGGGUGCACCAUCGACCGAUCCUGAUGUCUUCGGAUGGAUUUGAGUAAGAGCAUGGCUGUUGGGACCCGAAAGAUGGUGAACUAUGCUUGAAUAGGGUGAAGCCAGAGGAAACUCUGGUGGAGGCUCGCAGCGGUUCUGACGUGCAAAUCGAUCGUCAAAUUUGGGCAUAGGGGCGAAAGACUAAUCGAACUAUCUAGUA
rnacentral:rRNA from 1 species